rnacentral:rRNA from 1 species
ACGAACGCUGGCGGCGUGCUUAACACAUGCAGGUCGAACGAGAAGAGAUGAGAAGCUUGCUUCUUAUCAAUUCGAGUGGCAAACGGGUGAGUAACGCGUAAGCAACCUGCCCUUCAGAUGGGGACAACAGCUGGAAACGGCUGCUAAUACCGAAUACGUUCUUUUUGUCGCAUGGCAGAGGGAAGAAAGGGAGGCUCUUCGGAGCUUUCGCUGAAGGAGGGGCUUGCGUCUGAUUAGCUAGUUGGAGGGGUAACGGCCCACCAAGGCGACGAUCAGUAGCCGGUCUGAGAGGAUGAACGGCCACAUUGGGACUGAGACACGGCCCAGACUCCUACGGGAGGCAGCAGUGGGGAAUCUUCCGCAAUGGACGAAAGUCUGACGGAGCAACGCCGCGUGAACGAUGACGGCCUUCGGGUUGUAAAGUUCUGUUAUACGGGACGAAUGGCGUAGCGGUCAAUACCCGUUACGAGUGACGGUACCGUAAGAGAAAGCCACGGCUAACUACGUG